rnacentral:rRNA from 1 species
AGUGAACGCUGGCGGUAGGCCUAACACAUGCCAGUCGAACGGCAGCACAGUAAGAGCUUGCUCUUACGGGUGGCGAGUGGCGGACGAGUGAGGAAUACAUCGGAAUCUACUUUUUCGUGGGGGAUAACGUAGGGAAACUUACGCUAAUACCGCAUACGACCUACGGGUGAAAGCAGGGGAUCUUCGGACCUUGCGCGAUUGAAUGAGCCGAUGUCGGAUUAGCUAGUUGGCGGGGUAAAGGCCCACCAAGGCGACGAUCCGUAGCUGGUCUGAGAGGAUGAUCAGCCACACUGGAACUGAGACACGGUCCAGACUCCUACGGGAGGCAGCAGUGGGGAAUAUUGGACAAUGGGCGCAAGCCUGAUCCAGCCAUACCGCGUGGGUGAAGAAGGCCUUCGGGUUGUAAAGCCCUUUUGUUGGGAAAGAAAAGCAGCAGGUUAAUACCCCGCUGUUCUGACGGUACCCAAAGAAUAAGCACCGGCUAACUUCGUC